AUACGGAGGAUCCGAGCGUUAUCCGGAUUUAUUGGGUUUAAAGGGUGCGCAGGCGGCCAUUUAAGUCAGCGGUUAAAUCGUGGGGCUCAACCCCAUUCUGCCGUUGAUACUGGGUGGCUUGAUUGCGGUCGAGGUUGGCGGAAUUCGUUGUGUAGCGGUGAAAUGCAUAGAUAUGACGAAGAACACCGAUUGCGUAGGCAGCCGACCAGACCGCAAAUGACGCUCAUGCACGAAAGUGCGGGGAUCGAACAGGAUUAGAUACCCUGGUAGUCCGCACAGUAAACGAUGAAUACUUGUUUUCGGCGAUAUAAUGUCGGAGGCAAAGCGAAAGCGAUAAGUAUUCCACCUGGGGAGUACGCCGGCAACGGUGAAACUCAAAUGAAUUGACGGGG
rnacentral:rRNA from 1 species